rnacentral:misc_RNA from 1 species
UUUCCGUAGGUGAACCUGCGGAAGGAUCAUUAUUGUAUAACCGAGGUGCGAGGGCUGUCGCUGACCCGAAAGGUCGUGCACGCCCGAGUGCCCUCACACACAUCUAUUUCACCCCUAUGUGCACCACCGCGUGGGUCCCCCUUUGGCUUGUUCGGAGGGGGGCUUACGUUUUCACACAAACUUUGUAUGCAGUGUAGAAUGUAUUUUUUGUUUUUGCGAUCACGCAAUCAAUACAACUUUCAACAACGGAUCUCUUGGCUCUC